rnacentral:rRNA from 1 species
UACGUAGGGGGCGAGCGUUUGUCCGGAUUCAUUGGGCGUAAAGAGCUCGUAGGCGGUUCGGUAAGUCAGGUGUGAAAACUCCAGGCUCAACUUGGAGACGCCACCUGAUACUGUCGUGACUAGAGUCCGGUAGGGGAGGCAUGGAAUUCCUGGUGUAGCGGUGAAAUUCGUAGAUAUCAGGAGGAACACCGGUGGCGAAGGCGGCGACCUGGACCGGUACUGACGCUGAGACGCGAAAGCGUGGGGAGCAAACAGG